AACAGCCUCCACCUCUCUCUCUCUCUACUUUAUCUUUUCUCUCUCUUCUCUUUGAAGCCGCCACCGGCCACCAUGGUUGGUGGACGUACCAGCCACCAACGGCAACAUCAACACCGGCGCCACCUCCCUUGACUCCCCCUUAUCCCUGUCAUCUCUCUCCUCCGGCGAACCAGCGUCGCCACGAAGCAGCAGUAAUAGCCACCACGAGCCACCUCUGUCCCCCUCUCCCGCCACCAUAAUGUCCGAUGCCACCAGUGACAGCAGCCAUCCACCGUAGAGUGCCCAGCUCCAUUUUUCUCUUCUCCUCCGGUGAACUAGCACCGGCGCCACUCUAAUACAGCCUCCCAGAUCUGCCUUCCUCCAUUCUCCUUCUCAACCAGCCGCCAUCGCCGUCCACAGUAGCCGAUGAAGCAGCCAACAGCGAGCCGGCCCCAACCACCAUCUGCCACUACUCCAAUGUUAUCUCAUCACGCCUAAUUUCGAGUAAGCUUCGCCGGAAAAUCACUAAGUGCAUGAAGGAUUCAUAAUUUGUGAAUCUGUCUCAGGUUUGUUGUCCUUGUUAAAUCUUAAUAUUAUAGCCUUCUUCUCUCCUUCUUUAUUUAAAUAGAUUUUUGAGUGUGAAAUCAUUAAAAUUAGACAUUGAUUUACUAAUUGAUUCUUUUAAAUUCAUGUUCGUUCAUUGAUAUAUGCAAAAAAUGCCCAAUUUCUGUGAAUGUCCAUUGAUUGUUUGACUGAUUUAUGCCAAAAUGCUUAAUUUAAUCUGCAAGUUUUAAUUUUUAACCCCUCUAAGUAUAAUUUUGUGGGUUUGACAAUGUGAGGUUUACUAUGUAUGUGAAUUCCUUUAAACUUGGUCAGUACUUGGAAGAAGCUGUAUAUGUAUAUUAUUUCAAAAAGAAAAAUCUCUAUGAUAGGCUUAUUUUUGGUAUUGACUGAUUAUGGGGAUAAUCUUUGUCCUUAUUUAAAAUGUGCAGAUCAUUUUAUAUGGAACUUUGGCAUGCUUGAAUAUUUUUUUUGCCUUCACUUGUUUGUAACAUAUUUUUGCUAAAAUGCCCAUUUGAGUCCUCUCACCUUUUGGACAGAUCUAUGUAGUAAUAUUUAUGGGAAUUCAAUAUUUUCCUUCUCCCUAAUUAUUCUGAUUGACUGUUAAGAAUAAUUUAUUUUCCUUCCUUACACUUGCUAAUUGAUCCUUAUACAUUGUUUCCUUUCAAUUCUUUAUGAGGGCUGCUAUAUAAACAACUCUUCUUCUCACUUAACGGACAGUUCUUCAAGAACAAUUACUACUCUUUAAAACAAACAAAAUACUGGCUAUUAUUAUAUUUUGAAGGUUCUUCGACUUUCCUUCAAGGCUUACUAAAAAUAUCUUACAUAUUUCACUGUUACAAGUGGCUAGCUUUUAUUAUUCUUAUUAUUUCUUUUGCUGCUGUUCACUGAUAAGGUUUCGGAACGAUGUAAUUUUCAUUCCCUAUGUGUGUUGACUGCAUCACGUUGUAAAAGCCUUUAGAAAGCAUGUCUAUAAGAAUAUUUCGAUGUUUGUUAUCACAUGUUCUUGUUUGUUUGGCAUUAUAUCUUGUCUAGCAGGUUUAAAUAGAAAAUUAUGGGGUUCUGAAGAGUCGCUGGAAUAUUUAUAACUAGAUUGUAUUAGUUUUGCUUAGUUUUGUUUUGUUAUUAUUUGGUUUGUAAUUCUACUGUAAAGACAUUAUUAUUGAUGUAAUAAUAAAUUUGGGGACUGCUUCGGGGGCGGAGAUUUACGUGCUCUAUGAAUAGUACGGAUGGGCACAACUUAGGUUAUAGGUUAUGUGUGAUAUGUGGUUCAUCUAGGCAUAUAAAUUUAGGAUUUAUUAACACAUACGAUGCUUAAUCUGUUUAUUAACGAAUUUGAUUCAAUUUCGACAUAUUGAUACAUCUUUAGCAUGUUGAACAUUAGGCAUAAACAAUUUAAUAUAUGUCUAGCAUGUUAACGUGAAUUUAAGCACAUUAACUUGACAUUAAGUAUGUGUUUUAGCAUGUUAAGCAUAUUAAUUUGAUAUUAAGCAUAUCAAUGUAUUUUUGCAUAUUAGGUUUAAAACAUGUUAAU
rnacentral:lncRNA from 1 species